GACGAACGCUGGCGGCGUGCCUAAUACAUGCAAGUCGAACGAACUCUGGUAUUGAUUGGUGCUUGCAUCAUGAUUUACAUUUGAGUGAGUGGCGAACUGGUGAGUAACACGUGGGAAACCUGCCCAGAAGCGGGGGAUAACACCUGGAAACAGAUGCUAAUACCGCAUAACAACUUGGACCGCAUGGUCCGAGCUUGAAAGAUGGCUUCGGCUAUCACUUUUGGAUGGUCCCGCGGCGUAUUAGCUAGAUGGUGGGGUAAUGGCUCACCAUGGCAAUGAUACGUAGCCGACCUGAGAGGGUAAUCGGCCACAUUGGGACUGAGACACGGCCCAAACUCCUACGGGAGGCAGCAGUAGGGAAUCUUCCACAAUGGACGAAAGUCUGAUGGAGCAACGCCGCGUGAGUGAAGAAGGGUUUCGGCUCGUAAAACUCUGUUGUUAAAGAAGAACAUAUCUGAGAGUAACUGUUCAGGUAUUGACGGUAUUUAACCAGAAAGCCACGGCUAACUACGUGCCAGCAGCCGCGGUAAUACGUAGGUGGCAAGCGUUGUCCGGAUUUAUUGGGCGUAAAGCGAGCGCAGGCGGUUUUUUAAGUCUGAUGUGAAAGCCUUCGGCUCAACCGAAGAAGUGCAUCGGAAACUGGGAAACUUGAGUGCAGAAGAGGACAGUGGAACUCCAUGUGUAGCGGUGAAAUGCGUAGAUAUAUGGAGGAACACCAGUGGCGAAGGCGGCUGUCUGGUCUGUAACUGACGCUGAGGCUCGAAAGUAUGGGUAGCAAACAGGAUUAGAUACCCUGGUAGUCCAUACCGUAAACGAUGAAUGCUAAGUGUUGGAGGGUUUCCGCCCUUCAGUGCAGCAGCUAACGCAUUAAGCAUUCCGCCUGGGGAGUACGGCCGCAAGGCUGAAACUCAAAGGAAUUGACGGGGGCCCGCACAAGCGGUGGAGCAUGUGGUUUAAUUCGAAGCUACGCGAAGAACCUUACCAGGUCUUGACAUACUAUGCAAAUCUAAGAGAUUAGACGUUCCCUUCGGGGACAUGGAUACAGGUGGUGCAUGGUUGUCGUCAGCUCGUGUCGUGAGAUGUUGGGUUAAGUCCCGCAACGAGCGCAACCCUUAUUAUCAGUUGCCAGCAUUAAGUUGGGCACUCUGGUGAGACUGCCGGUGACAAACCGGAGGAAGGUGGGGAUGACGUCAAAUCAUCAAGCCCCUUAUGACCUGGGCUACACACGUGCUACAAUGGAUGGUACAACGAGUUGCGAACUCGCGAGAGUAAGCUAAUCUCUUAAAGCCAUUCUCAGUUCGGAUUGUAGGCUGCAACUCGCCUACAUGAAGUCGGAAUCGCUAGUAAUCGCGGAUCAGCAUGCCGCGGUGAAUACGUUCCCGGGCCUUGUACACACCGCCCGUCACACCAUGAGAGUUUGUAACACCCAAAGUCGGUGGGGUAACCUUUUAGGAACCAGCCGCCUAAGGUGGGACAGAUGAUUAGGGUG
rnacentral:rRNA from 1 species